rnacentral:lncRNA from 1 species
CUCAGGAAUCAUGUUGGUGGUAUUCUCGUCAUGAGUGAUUGUUGUCUGAGUUGUGGUCAGGGGAUGUGUGGACAGUGGUGUGGUUGUGGUCAAUAGGGUCGUGGACAGUUGGUGUGUGGACAGUGGUGUGGUUGUGGUCAAUAGGGUCAUGAUCGAUUGGUGCUUCCUGUCCAACCUGAUGAGAUGUCGCGGGCUUCUUGUUACGGGAUAUCAGUGUAUGGAAAGAUGUUUGCCUUGGAUGAGAUUUCUUCUUAUUUAUUUUUCAAGAGUUUGUGCAGCUGCUUCAUCUGCUUCAUCUGCUUUUGAAG